rnacentral:lncRNA from 1 species
AAAUGUCUCUAAUCUGUUUAGAUGUGCAUCGAAUCGGGAGCUGGCCAGGCAGUUAAACCAACAGACCGUUUCUAAUGAGCUGGAAACCAAACCCCUUUAAAAGAGACAGGCCCUGGUCUAGUGUCUCCAGCACAACUGGAAACAUGCGACCUCUGCCAACACUGGAGUUGCAGGACCAGUUUCUGCAGCCAUUAUCAACAGAAGCCAGUAGCAAGGUCACCAACUCCAAUGCCCUUGGGGACCAGGCAGGAUACCAGUGACUUCAAGAGGAAGGGUCAAGCUACAGAGCUAUGAACAGGAGCCGUGCUUUAUUUAGUGUCUACCAUGAAAUGCGGGGACCUCAUGGGUGCCCUAUUAGGACUUCCUCAAACUUUUCUGCUUCUUAGGGGGUUGGUCAGUGUGUGGUUAAGACACCCACACAUCCCGUCUGGCUUCAGAUCCCAGCCACCUCACAUUAGUGUGUCCAGUUCACGUGCACACGGAAUGAAAAGGCCAGCCACAAGCCUUCAGAAAUGUCCUCAGUGCUGGCACCCAGACACCACAAGUAUUUGUUGUGUGCUUUGGGUCACGUUUGUAUCAUAAUCCAGGCUUAGGAAAGAGGGCAUUUUCCAAAACUCUUACAAAGCAGCUGCGACCAAAUAAAAAUUGCAAGCUAACUGCAAAUGGCUGAAGUGAUCUGUCCUUUUGGUGCUCUGGACCACCUGAGUUCCAAGUGUGUGCAAC